AGCGAACGCUGGCGGCAGGCUUAACACAUGCAAGUCGAGCGGGCACUUUCGGGUGUCAGCGGCGGACGGGUGAGUAACGCGUGGGAACGUGCCCUCUGGUUCGGAAUAACUCAGGGAAACUUGAGCUAAUACCGGAUACGCCCUUUUGGGGAAAGGCUUGCUGCCGGAGGAUCGGCCCGCGUCUGAUUAGCUAGUUGGUGAGGUAACGGCUCACCAAGGCGACGAUCAGUAGCUGGUCUGAGAGGAUGAUCAGCCAUACUGGGACUGAGACACGGCCCAGACUCCUACGGGAGGCAGCAGUGGGGAAUAUUGGACAAUGGGCGCAAGCCUGAUCCAGCCAUGCCGCGUGAGUGAUGAAGGCCUUAGGGUUGUAAAGCCCUUUUAUCCGGGACGAUAAUGACGGUACCGGAGGAAUAAGCCCCGGCUAACUUCGUG
rnacentral:rRNA from 1 species